GCCCUCACAACGCCUCCCUGCAGGAGGGGCCAGCCUCGGCUCCGAACUGUGCUUCAGGCCGGGCUUGUUUGAAGUUCUCCUUGGGAUGGGAAGUAACAGGAGUGGUGAUCCAAAGAUAGGUCAGAGGUGGUUGGUGUCGUUGUCCUGGAAGUGGAAUAGACUGAAAAGGUGCAUUUCUGACAACAAUUAUGCUUACGACGGUGAACCGUGGAGCAUGGGCCGCCAUGGGAGAGCUCCCUGUGCGCCUCCCUCACAGCUCCUGCGCUGGGAGUCGGCUCUGUAUCUCUGUGGCUACGGCACAAAAGUUCUAGGGGUCAAACUUUGUCUGGGAGAACAAAGAGGAACAAAAGAUUUUACAGAAGAACACUUUGGAAGAUCCUUGUCUAUCCCAGGGAAUAUUUUCUGGCUCUACAGAGAGCCACAGGAUUUUUGCUAUCACACAGCAUUUAAAGGGGAGCCUCACUGCUAUCUGUGCUGUUUUGAAGUCAUAACAACAACGAGCUGAAUAACUUUAAAAAAUCAUUAUUUUUAGAUGUGAAAUGGAACUUCAUUUACAUGCAGUUAAUGUCAAUAUGAAAAGUUUGCUCUAGUAAAUAUGUGCUCUGAUAGGAGCUGCUGGAAUAAAAAAUAAAGGCAAAUUAUUAUAAAUUCAGCAAUUCUGAGCAGCUGCCCUUUUUAUCUUUGAAAUAAAUGCCUGGAUUUUUUUUUUUUUUUUUUUUUUUUUUUUUAGUAAUUGAAUUAGGCUACUAUGAAAGCACAAAAGUAGUCUGUCUAUUUCUGUCUGAGGAUAUUGUGAAUAUUUGCACUGUACUGCUCUUUUUUGACGCUAUGGGUAAUGGCAGAAGCAGCAUGGAUUAAACCUUUCUCACAGAGCAUGGCAUAGGCUGUAAUAGAAGUCUCUCAAAAGAAAAAAUCAUUGCUUUGAAAAACCUCAAAAGAUACAUUAAAAAAAGAGGCUCCAUGCUUAUGGGUAUGGUAACCCUUGAUAAAAGGCUACACAGUCUUGGCUCUCAAAACACUCUUGAAAUUAAAUUAAAUCCAUUGAAAUUCUUUAGUAAAGGCCUAAGAAGUAAUAGCUUUUAUUCUGUCAGUGUGCCCUACUGGAUCUUUCCCUUCCAAGCCACCUGAGAUCCUCCUCUUAAUAGCAGAGAUGAUUGUAGACGUGUGUCCCAGAAUCCACAACACUACAGCAGUUCAUCUGUCCAUUUCACUUCUCCCCCUUUUUGAGAUAGGGGUUGAAUACUGUAUGCAAAGUACUGAGAGUCUCAGAAAAUACUCUUUUUCUGCCUCUUUCUGGCCACUUGACUCCUCUUCACCUUCAGAACAAAACCAGCUCUGCUUUUAUGAAAUAAGCUGUGACAGUACGAGCAGCCGUUCCUGCAUUUUGCCCAUGCCAGCAGCUGCCCAGGGCCUCAUGCUGAGUCUGACCUUCAGGCAGGCUUCUGCUCCCAGCUGCAGGUGUAGCACUCCAGCCCUUUUGCCGGCUCCUACAGCCAUGUUUUUAAUGAAUCCCACAUGGGAAGAAGAGGAACAGACAUGGUGAUGAAAAGACAAGGCUUUCACCUUGCAAGCUUCAGUGAUGUGCAGGGGCUCACCUGCAUAUGUCAAAUAAAUGCUGUGCUACAGUGUCAAUUGGGAUGUUGUGCAAACUGUCUGUAAUAGCAACAGGUUGAUAUAUUUUUCAUCAUGUGCAUAUUAUGUCCCAUAUCCUCCAGGAAAGAACCCCAACAGGAAUGUGUGCUGCUACCCUGGGGACUGCUCUGAAGCAUUACUGCUCUGCAGUAUGUGAAACACCUGUUGUUAUAAGCAUUGAUGAUACUGAAGAAAUAACAAGGCUCUACAGCAUAGAAACCUGUGUCAAUAGAGUAUCAGCACUAUGAACUUGUGACAUUUUAAGAUGGCUUGUAAUGUGUGUGAAACAAAUGAACUGAAUGGCUUAGAGGCAUGGAAACUGAGGGAGGGAGAUACAGACCCUGAUGUACAAGGGCACACAGGAAGCAAUGUUCAAGAGAUAAGGGAAUACCCAGUGACCUGCAAUGAAACCAGAAUGUAAAGAUUUUGGAAAAGACUGUUUG